CUUUAAACAUGUCCCAUUUCUAAGCUAUCUCCUGUUUGGCACCUCACGCUCGGCUGCGAAGCAUCCUACGUCUGGACGCGUCCACCAUCCUUCCCACAUCGGUCUGGUCCAAGCUCGGUGAGCACGCCUCUAGUGUGACCUUUAUCCACCGGGCUACAAGAGCAGAUUUUACACGUUCUUCCCUGUCAGACUCUAAAGCCCUUCUUCUUCAACUGUAUUUGCCUCUCUUCAUCUAACAAGUCCCUAAAUCACUAGCUGGCAAACUCAUUGAGUGUGGAGCUGGUGAACAGAUUAUAAGAGGAAAAUGGAUACAAACAAUCUGCCUACCAAAUUCAACUAAACUCUUACUCUUUACAAAACAUUUCCCAUUCGAGGAUCUUCAACGUUCACCCGAGAGUGUCCUAGAAGGAAGACAUCAUACCCAGGGGCUUACAAAGCACAAUGUCUUUAAGGGAGGAAGUCUUCGUUCACUGUUUCGGAGGGUUCUGCUCUCAAACAACUGGCUCCAUUGUCCUGGACUGUAG
rnacentral:lncRNA from 1 species